AUUGUCCUUGAUGAUUUACUUGACCAAAGCUUGAGUUUAACGACCAUGAAAAAACUCACAUGCACUACCAUCUGAGACAAA